rnacentral:sRNA from 1 species
GCCAACCAAGACUACAGAAGCAAAU